GGUUGGUCGAUUUUUUUUUGAUUGAUGAUAUGAUUAUGAAAUGUUUAGAUAUUGUUUUUAUCGGCUGUCAAACCUUUUGUGUGUGCCACGUGAUAUUAAAUUUGUGUAAUAUAUGUGGGAUGUGGUCAAUGUAGGCUUUAUACUUUCGAAAGAUUGGAAGAGUCUUUCUGGAUGGUUUGUUGUUUAACAAUUUGGAACUCUGGUUAUCAUGAGUUAAAUUGGUGUACUCUUGGAGUGUUUGUGAUAUCGUGAGUCUGAUUCAUUAAGGUUGUUCGUCUUGUGGAGAGUCAUAUCUAGUCGAUAUAUUAGACUUGGUCAUUCAUUUGCUAUAACGGGUUAUUUAAAUGUUUUUGAUAUGGGACACUUGGUGUCGAGUUGUUAUAUAUGCAUGAUCUUUAUCAGUUGGGAUUUCAAGAUAUUCCUUUAGUUUCAAUUGAGUUGGUCAUUCAGUUGAGGAGUGCACUUAGGAGUCAGAGCUCGUUAUGCAGAAUUGCUAUAUUUUCUAUCCUUAUGAUACAUUGCAAUUAUUCCUUGUUUGUUUAUUUCGGUUGUUAUGUGCGCUCUAUUUCGUUGUUUUGUGCAUUUAUGUUUUGUGUUAAAAAUCGAGGACGAUUUUGUUUUUAAGUUGGGGAGAAUGUAAUACCCCGUAUUUUUCUCGUUAUGUUUUUACUUGAUUUCGGAUUGGUUCUUGCAUUGAGACACCUUGAUUGAGCCUUGUUUUGUAUCUUGUAUGUUACACAUAUAUCGUGUGGGUAUUAGAUAUUGAUUCGAUUCAUUUUCGGGUAUUUAUUGAAGUUGUUUUCCCAUGUUUUCCAAAACUGCCAUGUGUUAGUAAAACGUUGAUAUCUCACAAUUGAACGGUCGGAUCGGGCUCAUCUUUGGAUAUAUUGUUCCUAAGAGGAUUUACUAAAAUCUGGUCGGUUGGAUUGUUAUUUGGAGGUUUCUAACUCUAAAACUACCUUUUAAACCGUGGGCUUUAAUUGCAGCCCAAGUAAAGCCCACAGGAGUCUAUAAAUAGACCCCUUAAGUUGCAAACCCUAGCCCCCAUUAAUCUCCAAACCCUAAAAACGAAUUUCUUCACUUAAAGAACUUGAUUUCUUCUUUCUAACAAGUCCGGAUGUGAUUCAUUCCGCUAAGAAUAUGAUUUUACAUCCUACUCGCAAGAUCUACGCGAUUUCUACGUUGUGUUCUUCGUUGGAGGCUUGUGGAUUAAAUUAAAUUCGGUCCAGCCCCUUGAACCUUGGGUUAAUACAUUAUUUAUCUUAUUGUUCAUCAUCCUUAGACACGUCGACUGCUCGUGCUUCGGAGUCGAAACAGGUUUAGUUGCUUGCCAGGUUUUUCACGUGGAUUUGCAAGCAGUUUAUGAUUUGAAAGCUGGUCCACUCCGAUUCUUUUGAUUCCUCGGAGGUUUUUAUGUUAUUUAAACUAGUUUCUGUUUUCAAACUCUUAGACCGCAGUAGAACUAGUUAUUUAUUUCAUUUGAUACUACACUUUGGGAUUGUCGAUAUAUUCGAUUAUUAUAUUUGGCAUGAUUACUCUGGAUUACGAUAUUGUUAUAUAUAAGGCAUGAUGUUGAACAUUUAA